rnacentral:lncRNA from 1 species
AAAAGCACUGGCUCGAGCAAGAAGGCUGCAAGGGUCCGAACAAGCCUAAGAGGCUUGCAAUACUGUUUAUCCAGUCAGUCUCGAAGCAAUACUGUUUAUCCAAAUUGAAAGAGUUGCUCCUCGGUUGGUUGAUUCUACGGCUCCAGUAUUAUGUUGUUUAUCCAAACUAAAGAUGUGUUGGCGGAAGGAAGGAUAAAAUUUUAAGGGUUGUUGAGAAGCUUUGCACAGGGUAAUAUAUAUGUUGAUUUGGAGGGGUGCCUUCAUAUUGUUUGCAGCUUUGUAUUUAUUGUCGAUUCUCCUUGAUCGCUAAUCCAAAUACAGUCAUUUUCCGAAUAUACCCCAAAAAACAAUAUCAAAAUAACUGAUAUUAUCUUUUGACAUAUUUCGGCAAAAUCCCGCUAGUCUCCUUGCGCCCACAGACUUUCACAAAAGGACUUUGAAAUUUCAAAGUACCCUUAUCAUUUCAAACCCAAGACAACAUCCACCACAUUGCAACACAAAAAGCCUAGCCUACCUAGGUUUCCUAUGUCAUCAUUAUCUAGGACCAUUAUUUUUCUUUAGGGGAUGUCAAAUCCCACGUGCUGAUCUCCUAUCAAUCUACACGUCCACUGCCAGCAAACCCAAGUUAAUUCGAACUCUGUUGUUGUUGCUUCCCGUUGGAAAUAAUGAGAAUCUCAUUUAUCGCGUUGUAUAAGAAAAUAUCAAAACAAAUCAUAUUAAAAUAUAAUUAUUACGAUAAAAAUCAUAAUAUUAUCUUUCAAUAAUAAUAUAAUUAUCUUUACUCUUUCAUCCGAUGGUUGGGAAUUAUGCCUACUUAAUUGCUUUGAUUGCAUGGGCCGAUGAUGUAAUUUUGGAUCCAAACAGAUUUACAUACCCCUUUUUCCAUAUAUUACCUAUUUUGAUAAUAUAUGAAAAAAGGGGUACACGAUAUCAGUUUGGUUUCUAAUUAAUUAGUUUAAAAGGAAAGUCCAUUUUGAAGAAACUACUUAAGUGGAAUGUGUUGAUCUAAUCCCUUUUGUACAUAAAUAGGUUAUAUACAAUUUUUAUGUGGACUGAUCGAUUAAUUUUUUUGCAUAUGUACAAAUCUUCCUAGUUUUUUCAAUGUAAAUAGUAUUAAUUGUUGGCGUGAGUCAACAUUUUAGGAGGAUUAGGAAUAUAGGCAAUAUCCUAGGAGGAUUAGGAAUAUAGGUGUGUUUCCUACUUUGAUUGUAAAUCAUUUAAUAUUCCUUGUAUCACAAGGAUUGGAGUUGUAUAAAUAUUACCUCCCAACGGGAGAAGAAUAACCAGAAUUAUUAGAACUCUAAACUACAAUUUUAUCUUUAAUCUUCUAUGACAUAAUCUUUCAUAUCUUUCAAACGUAAUGUUCUAAACAAUUUAUGUUUCCGCAAUAAUGCGCGCACCAUUUUUAUUAACAUUUCUAAUAAUUUAUAUUGUAACCUCACUACUAUAUUAAUAUCUCGAGAAAUUUAACCUGGUUAGAAAUUUAUACCGUAGCCUGACUACUUUAUUAAUAUCUCGAGAAAUUUAAUAUGGCUACCGUAGUCACUACUUACUUUUGACUUUUGUCCUGCAUCAUGGUCUGGAUUCAUAGUCUUAUGAUAAGUGGUGUAGGUGUAACAUCUUCAGGGCUUAGCUAGGUGGGAGGUUUAAAGCUUGACCAUGGGGCUCUUAUGGGUCUUCCCAGCUUCUCCCUCUUGCCUUUAUCCUUGGGAGAUGCUGUCUCUCCAUCUUUUGCUGAUUUUUUCAUGUUAUGUUCUUGUCGUUGGCUUGGUUUGGUCCGUGUGUGACCUCCCCUAUUUGUUGUGGGAUUUUUACAGUAUUUCGAAGUAUGAGAUGCUUUGAAUGUUUUAAAUGUUAAAUUUUUGUUUAAAAAAAAAAUCAAAAUCUAAUGGUUAAAAUGCCGAAAUAUUUAUUCUAUACUUCAUAGCACCCUAAAAUUUUUGUUUGUGUUAUGGCUUGGGGUUUUUGCCUUUUAGACCAUCUCCAAUGGUGGCUUAUAACCUAAAAUUUCCUUUUUUUCCCCCCCCCCAAAAUCCACUCCAACCCAAAACCUAAAUCAAACCUAAAACCUAAAACUUAAAAUGAAGGCAAAUAUAGGUCACAAAUUGAGCCCAUAAAAGUUGCUGGGAUCCACGGAUGAGAGUAAAAAGUGGGCAUUGUCUUGUAGCCAACAACUACUUUUCUUCAUCGGGUGAUGGUGGUAAUUGGACCGUUGGUUAAUCCAACGGUCCACAUUCAAUUUUUUUUGUUAUAUUUAUAUAUUUAUUGAAUCCAGCAGCUUAAAUCAAAUAUAAUCAAAUCUAACGGUUAAAAAAAAGAUCUAACGGUCCAAAUUUAAAUCCAAUAGCUAGAAUAAUCUUAAAAUUUAUUGGAAUUUAAAUAUUUUUUUUCCAACGGCUAGAAUAUAUAUAUAUUUUUUUAAGUUUAUGUGGUUUAUCAUGAUUUUCAUGUAUUGAUUUAGUGAUUUUUCAAAAUUAAUCGGAAUUUAAAUAUUUUUAGGUUAAAAUGUUCAUAAAAUUAAUUUAAGAUAGUCUACAUAAUUUUUUUUUUAAAAGUUAAUUUAAAAAAAAAUAGCCUUAAUUCAUUUUUUGAUAAUCUGGGGCUAAAAUUUUAGGCCAAAAGGGUUGGAGUAGAAAAACUGUCACAGCCCGUCCUGGGAAAUUUGUUUUGAAAGUGUGAAAAGACGAAAAUACCCUUGGACGUUGAAUGGUGUGUGUAUGAUAUAUGUUAGUUCAAUUAUAUGGGAUUGGUGACCCAAUUAGAACUAAAGUUUUCAUUAGUUUGGAUUGGUGGCUUUAGGACCACACAAACACUCAUACCUUCUCUCUCCUCUCCCGCACUCUCUCUCUCCUCCCUCGCAGUCUCUCACUCUCUGUCUCUCUCUUUCCUUUGAAACGUACGGACGAACACAAAUCCUCCCAUUUCUUCACAAAUCAAAGGUAAAAAGGUAUGAUUCUUGUUCCAUUUAAGCUUCUGAGUUCAUUGGUACAAGUUUUAGAGCAUAAGACCUUCGAAAACCCUAAGAACCCUAACCCCAGUUUUCAUGCACUAUUCAUGAACUUUUAAUGGUCAUGUUUUAGGACAAUCCAAGCACACAGCGAACUCUAGGAGGUUCUCACGAAGCUCGGAGUGCUUCGUUUGAACGAAUUGGACGUCGGGAUCGAGAGGUUGACAUUUGGCCGGUUUUUCUCAAAAUUCUCCGGUGAGAUCCCGUGAUUUUUAGAACUUUAAAUUAGUAUGAACGUGUUCUACAAGUUAAGAGCUUCAUUUUGACAUAAAUUUCGUGAAAAUUGGAUGAAAAACGAGUGAGAAACCAUGUUUGGAAAAUUUCCCAGAAACCGGUGAACAGUCGCCGGCGAUCGGCGACUCGCCGGAGAAGACAGGGAAUAUUCCGUCAGUUUUGACGGAAUAUGCUAACGGCGUUGACUGACGCCGUUAAUUAUCUAACGGAAUAUACUAGGAUUUAACGGAAUAUUCUCUAACUGCCGUUACUGUGCCAUCAGUGUGCAUCGCACGUGGCCGCGCGUGGGGGCGCGUAGACCCGUGCCUAUUCCGGCGCAUGGGGGCGCGUGAACAGUCCAAAAAUUAUUUUAAAAAUAUGGUGAUGAUCCUAAGGUUGAGUAGGUCACUGUGGUAUAUUCAUAUACCCAAAUUGAGCACCGUAUGAGAAGUUUAAGAAUUGUUGGUUAGGUGCUUUAAAUAAUGUUUUAUAGUUUUCGCAUUUAGGCGAAAAUAUGAAUUGACGAUCCGACCGUUGGAUCGUCACCAAACUUUGAUGCGUUGUAAUACGUAAUAUUUGAGGAUUAUUGGAACUUACGGAUUGGGAAUCCGAUUUACGGAUCUUCCGGAAUUGGAGUUGUAAGUCCAUAAUAUAAAAUGUUAACCGUCACUUAGUUUUGGAAAUUGACGGAGAUCCGACCGUUGGAUGGUAAUGAAAUUUUAGGACAUUGUCCUAGAGAUAUAUUGUGGACCUCUGGAAGUUAUGGAUUUGAAAUCUGAGUUGCAGAUCUUCCGGAUCGAACUACGUAGUGACGUAUUUUAUAUAAGUUAUUUAUUCUAUCGAUAUGAAUGCUGAGGUUGGAUUUGGUUAUUGUUUUAGGCGCCGAUCGUUAUGACGCCUUGACGCAUUGUGCUAGGGAGUUGUAGGGUGAACUCCAGGUGAGUGGGCAGUUUUGAUUUCUUUAUAUAUAUCUAUAUAAAUGAGAUUUUUCCCAGGAAAUCAAUUUAAGUUAAAUGAGAUAUGAAAUGCCAUGCAAAAUAUAUGCCUAAUUAUUUAUGCAUUAGUAGUUGCAUACAUGCAUGAAUUGGUGCUGCGGACGCACAGGUAAGUGCCAGGUAAGGUCAUGCAUUUAAUCAUGUAAUUGUUGAGUUGAAAUGAUGGAAAUCUCAUAAACCUGCACCAGGGUGAUUUUGAUAUGAUAGAGAUGAUUCAGGCCUGUUUAUAUAUAUAUAGUCACCCCCGCACCAUAUGCUCACAAUUGGAUCCAAUUUAGGUGCUAGUCGUACAGACCACUAGAGGUGGUUCCGACUCGCCAAAUCGUACAGACCACUAUAGGUGGUUCCGAUUCGUAGGUGACUAGCGAUUAUCGCAUAGCUAUCAGGGAAGGAUAGCGUGAGCAAACUAUAUUCACCCAGUCGUACAGACCUUUCUAGGGGUUCCGACUCGUGUGCAGUGUAGUGCCGUACAGGUCAUUGGCGACGACUCUGGCUAGAUUGUUGAUGAGAUUGAUUAUGAGCUAUUUAUAAGUUUUGUUGAGAUAUAUUUUGGCAUGGUAUACUUUCUGGUUUUUGAGAAAAAUUGAUAUUUUGAAAUUUAUGAAAAGUAAUAUGCUAUUAUGCUAUUUUCUGGGAAAAUAUACAGGUUUUACAGCGAGGGGUUAGCGCUUUGUUAACGAAAUGAUUUUCGAAAAGAUUUGUUUUGCUGACCCACUCAUCUUUGUUUUGCGCCCCUCCAGGUUCAAGAUAGCAGAGUUUUGGUGGCCUCGAGGAUUUCAGCGGUGUUCUGAUAGAAGUAUUUAAAAAUAGGACUCACCUUCGGGGGUUUCUUUUCAGCAAUUGUAUUUUAAACGCUUCCGAACUGUGUAAAUGGUUACGUCACUCUCACGUGACGGCAGCAUGCCCUCCUCCGGGACGGGGUGUGUCAAAAACUGUUUCUGGGCUAAAACCUAAAUUUUCUGGGCUAAAUAUUUUUAGGUUUUAGGUCAGGAUUGGAGAUGGUCUUAGUAAUGAAAUCUCUUUUUGGGACUCCAAUAGAAAAAAGGGGUUUCUGAUGAACAAACUUACAUUUUCUUCCUUCCAUCAUAAGAAUAGUAUAGAAAUUAGACAAAUAAGGAGAGAAUAUCAUGCUAACAAAAGAAAAAGAGAAAUUUUAUUUAAACUCAUUUAACCUCUUUUUACACCUCACUUAAAUUUUAAAUGUUAAUUGUCUAUUUUACCUUAUUGCAUAAUUACUAUUAAGUACAAAAUGAAAUUAAUAAUAAAACUCAAAUUUAUCAAUAAACUCAAACACUAUAAUUAAAACCUACGAUCACCCUUUGUUUAUCCUACGUUCAUUCUGGCUAAAACCUUAAUAACUCUCAUAGAGAAAAUAAGUUUUUUUAUUGAUAGAUAGUGAUUUUGAAGUUUUGAAUCCUCCAACCAAGAUAUGGCUCACUUUAUGAAUUUUUUGUUCGGUUGAUGCCCAAUUUCUUUUGUCGACUGCUAGAGGGGGACAUCAGUGUGGUAGUACCGGGCUUGUAAGCUGCAAGUACCUUCUUCGUUUUCAUGUAUUUUUCGCUUUUACUAUAAUUUAGUUUUUCUAGUUAUAAUUGUAUAAAUUUUUCGUUCAAUUUAAUAUAAAGGAUCAGCUCAAAAGUUUAAGAUUUAUAAUCCACUUUGUUUCGAUUUUUGAUCUCUUGGUGUUACAAAGACAAAAAACAACACACAAUCCACAUAUCAAUAAAAGGCUUUUAGUCCAUACCCAUCUAUAGAAUUUUGCCGACUCUACAAAAGUACGAAACGAAGCAGAAAGAGGAAGGGCGAGAGAGAGUGAUGCAAUUGGGUAUUUGUCGGAUCGAAGCUCUUCCAUACCAUUCCAUUAUCUCCCCCUACUCCUUGACUAAAAGAGUGUUCUUUGUCUCAUUUUCUCAUCAUAGAAAAAGCUAGAAAGUAUGUUUCAUGUUUUCACUGUCCGCAACUGGGAUUAGGAGAAAGAGACUGACAGAACAGAGGUUGAUCCAAAUCAUCAAACACAAGCAUAUGCCUGAUUCCAUUUGUCAACUUACAAUUUGAAUAGCUUGGGUAACGAUUCACAGACCUCUACUCUUUGGUAAUUAUUUAUGUCGUGAUUGUCGAAUUGAUGUUGUAGUAUAAUUUAUCUAUGUCGUAGAUUACCUACUGUCAGCAUAAAUAUAUGGCUAUUUUGGUAAUAUAUAUGAAAAAGGGUUACAUGAUACCCGUUUGGUUUCUAAUUGAUUAGUUUCAAGGGAAAGUCCAUUUUGAAGAAACUACUGAAGUGGAAUGUGUUGAUCUAAUCCCUUUUGUACAUAGAUAGGUUUAUACAAUUUUUAUGUGGACUGUAUCGAUUAAUUUUUUUGCAUAUGUACAAAUCUUCCUAAUUUGUUUAAUGUCAAUAGUAUUAAUCUUCUAUGACAUAAUCUUUUAUAUCUUUCAAACGUAAUGUUCCAUACAAUUUCUGUUUCCGCAGCAAUGCGCGGACAACAUUUUUAUUAACAUCUCUACAAAUUUAUACUGUAGCCUGUCUACUUUAUUAAUAUCUCGAGAAAUUUAACCUGGCUAAAAAUUUAUACUGUAGCCUGGCUACUUUAUUAAUAUCUUGUGAAAUUUAACCUGGCUACAGUAGUCACUACUUACUUUAGACUUUUGUCCUGCAUCGUGGUCUGGUUUCAAAGUCUUAUAAUAAGUGCUUUAACAACUUCAGGGCUCAGCUAGGUGGGAGGUAAAGCUUGACCAUGGUGCUCUUAUGGGUCUUCCCAGCUUUUCCCUCUUGCCUUUAUCCUUGGGAGAUGCUGUCUCUCCAUCUUUUGCUCAUUUUUCAUGUUAUAGUCUUGUCGUUGGCUUGGUUUGGUCCGUAUGUGACCUCGCCUAUUUGUUGUGGGAUUUUUUACAAUAUUUCGAAGUAUGAGAUGCUCUGCAUGUUUUAACUAUUAAAUUUUUGUUUAAAAAUAUAAAAAAAUCAAGAUC